AACACUGUAUAAUAGUCAGUAAAAGAGAACAUUGAUUAACACUAAUCAUCAGCUCUUUGUGUACAGCACAGCAGGAUGAAGGUGAAUGUCAUCUUCCAGGCAAGAUAAAAGUGUUUAAGGAAAGACCAACUGCAGCAGUGCCUAACUCGGAAAAAGAGCCAGCGUCUGUGAAACUUGGUUCUUUGGCCUUGCAGCAUCUGCCUCUCAUCCUCCAGAAGUUGAGGAGUGUGAAGAAUUGGGGAGGAUGAUGCUACCCACAAAUUCAUCUAAAAGCCCAACUGAAUUCAGAAGUUGUUGGAAUCCCAGUGGUCAAAGGUCUUAUUCCUUCUGCACACUAGGAAUGAUUCUGACAUGAAUCAGGAUUAUCUUUUCUACAUUAAUUUGUUGCUGUUUGUUGGUUAGGCCAUGUUC